CUACGCACAACGACUUCGUCACCGUCGCGCGCCCUGUUUCCCAGCACAAGUCUCUGGGCACACGCAGAACACGUAUCGGUCAUGUCCACAUCCUUGCCGCUCUCGAGCAGCCACUGCACGGCCAACGAAAAUGACAGCAGUGCGCCGCUGUCGCUGCUGCCGCAACCCCAUCAACAACGACACCAGCUGCAGGCGAUGGUGUACGUGCCGCCAUCUAGUGAGGUGCAUGGUGUGCCAAUCCUCUACCGGCAGAACGACGGCACGGACGCCCCGGCGCCGCUGGUCGAUGAGCUUCGGCGCAGUGCAUUUUACCGAAGCAACAGCAGUGGUGCCGCCCUCAGCACUCGAGGGAGUCUCCACAGCGUCGUCACGGGCAGCGAUGCGCCCUCGUCUCUGCCGGGCAACUCGGUGGGAAGCGGGUCAGGCCAUAGCGGAUGGUCGCCUGCAAUCUCUGGACUACCCGGAGUGCAGCGGGAGGAAGCGCUGUCGACGAACAACACGGGCAGCGACAGCUCCGCACAGACCAGCUUGCACUACAUGCAAGGUAGCACCGGUAACAACAACGGCUCGUACAUGGCGGUGGUGAAGCCCGUCUUCAACUGGUCGCAGCGCACGCAGUACGCAGCGCCGCCACAGCAUCCGUACAUGGCAUACCACUACCAGCUGCAGCAGCAGCAGCCCUACACGUUGUCCGCCUGCAUGGCAGCGCCGCCCGGGUCGCCAGCAUUCUGCCCGCCUUCCGCGCAGUACCAGUACGCCUAUGUGCCUGCCGCCAGUUACGUGGCGACAAGCAGCUGUGCAUGCAGUGGCAGCAACGACGGUCCGCUGCCGUAUCCGCUGCAGCCCGAGGCCGCACCAGGGUAUGGUGAGGAGCAGGCAUCCCUGCUGUGGAACACAGGCCUCUUCGGCCUCGCCACGGACGUCCCCUCUGCCAUGGACUCCGUCAUGUGCAUCUACUGCAUCAGCAGCACGCACUUCAACUAUCUGUACCGCCAGCAGCGUGGCAUGUUCGAUCCGAUCACCGCCGCUCUCCUGUGCUUCGAUGUUUGUUGGUGCAUGCAGUUGUGGCCCGUUGUCACGCCGCUGUCGUCCAUCACGUUGCACACGUUCAUCAUCCGCAGAGAGCUGCGGAAGCGCUAUGGCCUCGUCGGCAACGACCUAUUCGUGAAGAUGGAUCGUCUCAAUGCCGACACUGCAGCGGCGACGGAGGCGGGCGAGACGGGGGCACAAGCUGAGGAGGCGACGACGGCGGAGGUAGAGUCGCAGCUGCACAGGGCAUGCGACAGCGACGUCACGGUGGAGGCUGCGGCUGCUGAGCCAGCAGGCACGGGGGAAGUUGCCGCAGAAGUGACGUCAGUGACGCCCCCGGUCACAGCACCAUCUGAAGCUGCCGCGCCACGCACAGGAGAAUCGGACGUGAUGGCGACACACGCCACGCCGUGUGCCCCAUGGUAUUCGAAGCUGAAGCUGAGCGAGGAGUGGGAAAGUAUCUUUUUGGAUGUGCUCGUCUCCUGCUUCUGUGUGCCGUGCGCGGUGGCACAGCACCAUCGCGAGUUGUCUAUACGCGGCGACUGGCCCGGCAACGCCAUUGUGAGUCGAGGCGACUUCACCGCCCGCGGGCAGCACUACCUCCCGCAUGGGCUGCAGCACCAACAUCCGCAGCUGGGCGGGACGGUGAUGCCGAUGAUACCCGUUGAGCCACCGGUCAUAACCGUCGCUGGUGUCGGCGCGGGUGGUGUAACGCUGACGAACAUGGCGUAACCUCUUUCACAAUGUGUGCCGACGCGUGCGCGUCGGCGUGCCGGUGCGGCUCUCGUUUGUGUGUGUGUGUGUGUCUUUCUCACCGCGCGUCCACACGAUGCCUAGUCCCUACCCCACCCCACUCCCUACUCCACCACAGCGGUUGUGAUGCGUGAGUCCUGCGCUCGUGAGGCCCCCCCCCACUCCACACACCCCACAUCCCUCGUGUGGGGCGGGGGGAGGCGCUCCAGCUCUCUCGCUCGGUGUGGGUGCUCCUAUCGACCUUGCUCUCUCUCUCUCCUCUCUGUCAGCGCUUGGUAUCUGCCUAUCUGCCUACAUAUAUAUAUAUAUAUGCGUAUAAACAUCUAUACACUUAUUGGUGGGUGGGUGGGUGGCAGACGCUCCUGUCUCUAACUCUGCGUUGUCCGAAGCAGACGCUCAUCGAUGUACCCAUCCCAUCUCCCUCCAUCAACCGAUCCUCCUUCUCUUCCGCGCGUGCUGCUGUCCUUGUUCUUGUUUCCGUGUUGUUGUCGUCAUCGUCUUCUGUUGAUACGGCAGGCAACGAUCAUCAUGGUGUCCAUGAUGAUCCUCCAUCUCUCUGCGUGCCUGCCUGCCUCUCUGUUGGCCCGUGUGGUUCCGUGCAUGUGUUUCUCUACCGACAGUACUCGCCGGCGCCAUCCCCUCCUCCUCCCUCCGCCGCCGUCCCCCGCUCACUGUCAUGUGAGCUUGAGCAUCUCAUGUCUCCGGCUCUCUUUGCGGCGUGUGACGUCGCUUUUUCGUGUCGUCGAGUCUCCUCGUGCUCCCACCUCCCCCCCUCCCUCCCUCCCUCCCUCUCCUUGCGUCUGCAUCCGUCGGUGUCCGUGUGCGGAUCUGCCGCCGCGCUGUGCGCACGAGAGUAUUGGCUGCCACCAGUGAGCAUGUCUCUGCUUGAACCUCCAUAUACGCCUGACCGCGCACACACACGGGGCACACCGCGAGAGACGCACCAAGCGCCUGUGUAUGUGUGUGUGUGUGUGUGUGUACCAGACGGAGACGGAGACGUACAAGACUCGUCGUUCUGCGUGGUGACGCCAACGGAUUCGCUUGCGACCAGCUCAUGGUGGUUUGCGGUAGAUGCUAAGAAAGGAGUGCGGAGGAAGAAAAGACGCCGCACCCACGCGCGUGUGCGCGUGGGUGUCUUUCUGCUUUUUUAUUUGAUGCCCCAGUGUGCGGUGGUGGAUGCCGAAUCUCUUGGUUACCCAAAUCACCGGUCGUAUCACUGGCGUGGCCCGUCUCGGCGUAGGUGUCGUGAUCGCAACGAUCAGCUUGC
rnacentral:misc_RNA from 1 species